GACGAACGCUGGCGGCGUGCUUAACACAUGCAAGUCGAACGGUGAAGCUCCAGCUUGCUGGAGUGGAUCAGUGGCGAACGGGUGAGUAACACGUGAGCAACCUGCCCCUGACUCUGGAAUAAGCGCUGGAAACGGCGUCUAAUACUGGAUACGAGAAGGGUCCGCAUGGGCACUUUCUGGAAAGUUUUUCGGUUGGGGAUGGGCUCGCGGCCUAUCAGCUUGUUGGUGAGGUAAUGGCUCACCAAGGCGACGACGGGUAGCCGGCCUGAGAGGGCGACCGGCCACACUGGGACUGAGACACGGCCCAGACUCCUACGGGAGGCAGCAGUGGGGAAUAUUGCACAAUGGGCGAAAGCCGGAUGCAGCGACGCCGCGUGAGGGAUGACGGCCUUCGGGUUGUAAACCUCUUUCAGCAGGGAAGAAGCGAAAGUGACGGUACCUGCAGAAGAAGCACCGGCUAACUACGUG
rnacentral:rRNA from 1 species